rnacentral:lncRNA from 1 species
UCGUGGCUGUUCCACAUCAUUCACAGGAGACUUCCUAUCUGCUGCCUCCAGAUCCUGAGGACUGGGAGAAACAGGGCAUCCCUGACUUUGUCUAUGGCCAGGAGGAUCUCGUUGGCUAGGAAAUUCAGUGGCCAAGGAAUUCACGUAGUGCCGUGGACACACUACCACUACCCCACUUUGACUCUGCAGUCUGCUUUGCACUGAGGCAGCAGCUGGAACUGGGCCUGUUUCGAUACCGCCUAGAAGAUCUGCAGACCCAAAUCCUCCCUGGUUCCGUGGGGUUUGUAGCUCAGCCGCAUAUAGAGCAAGGGAUACAGAGGAGGCGCCCUCAGAAUAUCAAAAGUGUGAGGCAGGAGUUUGGCCCGGAACAGUUUCACUUCAAUAAAAUCCGACCUAGAGAAGUCCUUUUCCCUUGUGUAAAGGGAGCUUAAUGGCCCAGCUGCUCCAAAGCAAGAGGACGUCCUUGUAGUGAUCAAUGUCAGCUCCCUGGAGUCAUGUGCUGCUGGUGCCUGCACCUGCUCAUGGGCUUCCCCAACGGCUGCUGCCUGGAGUGCUACGGGUGGGGCUAGAAGCUGUCCUACUGAGCUUGACCCAGGCUUCCAGGUUGGCUUCAACAGCCUGGGAGGUCUGGCCUCUGCGAACCAUCUUUACCUGGCCCACCCACUGCCUGUGGAGGGAGCGCCAAGCACACCCCUUGACCCAUCUGCUGCAGGCCCUGCCGGCUCCUGGCUUUCUCUUUUACACGAGUGGGCCAGGACCUGAUUUGGGAGCGUUAAUUAGCAGGGUAUGCGGAGCUACUGACUACCUGAGUGACUGUGAGAUUGUUCAUAACUUAUUUGUGACCCGGGAGCUCCACCCGGGCAGGCAUCAUGGACCUCAGACCUCAGUGGGAUCCGAGUCA